rnacentral:lncRNA from 1 species
ACAGCAUAUGGAAGUUCCUAGUGAAGGGGAAGAGAAGGGGCGGGCUGGGUGGCAACUCUCCGAGGGUGAGGAUUUCAGGAACCCCUUCCCCAGCUCUGCCCAAGAUUUUGGACAACCCAGGAGACACAGGGAUGCCUCGGCCACUUGGGAAGGCAGCCGGUGAGGCCAGCAGAUCCACCAAAUGUCACAGAAGUGUAUGCCCCCGUCCCUUCUUACAGACCGUGAGCUCUGUCACCCGGGGCCCUGGGACAGUGCCUGGUGUCCGGUGGGGGCUGGAUAAAUGAAAUGUGUCCUCUUCCUGCCAAAGGCAGAGGCAGAGUUUAGAAUAAGACCCAGGUUCAGAUCCAAGCCCAACAGUGGCUGGCCACUCCUGCACUGAAAGCUGGAUUGGUCUCGUCUACACUGUGCAGGGAAUAGGGCCGCCCUCACCGAGGACCUGGGGUUAUGACGUCAGGCCUGAGGCUGCAGGGCCCACCACGGUCCUGUUCACCGCCAGGUCCUGACACUGGGCACCGAGCUGCAAGCAGCAGGGCUGAGAGGGCAUCUGAACUCAAAGGCCACCCCGGGCAGGCUGCCCCCAAGAACAAAGCACACGACUCUCACAGCCAAAGCUUUACUCGCACCCCAAACGCAGCUUCAUUCACACUGCAAACAGGAGGACCUGCAGGUGUCUGGCUAGCGGUCUUAGCCCCCUACCAACCGGCCCUGCGCCAGCGGCUAGUACCUGUCCGAACCCCAGACACCCUGCCAGGCAGUGGGUGACAGCAGUGCCGGGUCCACCUCCCAGGAUGGCUGGGCUGCCGCAGGUGAGCUGUGCUAACAAGGAGCAUCCUGCACCCACCACCCGGUGUCAGUGCCAACGGUCUGCAGGGGACUAGAGCACCCCAGCCCCGCCCCCACUUGUCAGAUGGGGAGCCCAGAGAAGACCAGCCCCCGCCCUCAGUCCUACGGGGCGGGGACCGCCGGCACCCUUUCCCUGUCCCCGCUUCCACGGGUCUCCUAUGCUCCAUCUGCAUGAAAAGUUUGGUUUGAGGCAAAACUUAGAACUGCAGAAGUACAAAGUCCAAAUAAAAAGGCUUUGCAAUAGAAAGCCGAUGAAAGAGACAAAUGGAGAGUAAUCAAAACCUCAUUAGGGCAAAUAAGCAACCUGCCUACAACGCCACCAAAACGGAUGGCCCCCGAACCAAGAGACGCAGGCGCCAAGUCUUCCAGACAGCCGCCGCCACCGCCACCGCCGCCUCAGGAAUGAAAAUAGCAGGGGCGCCCUCACCCACACCGGCAGGAGCCGGCACAGCGCCAGCACUCAGGAGUCUCACCCAGGCACCCAAACUGGCCCAGGGCUGUGCUGCAUAACUGGACUGGUCAUGAAGUCACCUGAAGAGCUUUCAAACCUCGCGUGGCCUAGACCACCUGCAGGCGGGGUCCGGAAUGGGCAGGGUACUCUAAGGCUCUGGGUGCCCUGACCUGCAAGCAGGUCAGCUUUCACUGGCUGCGUUACCAGCUCGUCUCACCCCACUCGGGGCAGAGCACCCACGGCAGGGGCGCGAGAAGAGCAGGUCAAGGCCUGGAGGCUGGGCGGAUGCUCCAGCUGGGUGGGCUCACCGCUUGGAUUCUUCUGGUUGGUCUGGAUGAAGGUUGUCAGGCAUUCCUGCCACGGUCCAUCCCAUUGCUAGGUGCUGGGAACACAGCAGGAAAGGAGCAAAUUUCUGCCCUCGGGGAGUUUCUACCCUGCAGGGAAACUGCAGCGGAGUGGGGGCUGUGACAGAGGCGGAGAGGAGAAACCCAGCGGGUGGGAAGGACAAGCCAGAGGCCGCCCCCACUGUCACCUGCACCUUAGGACCCGCACCCGCAGAGGGUCUGGGCCAAAGUUCCAAAAGGAGUCAAGAAACCAAGGCAAGAUCUGGAAGGUCCCCAAGGCCCUUCGCAACCUGAAAGGAAGAGAAGAUAUGGAACGAGCCCGGACGCUGAUGCCUCGCGUCAAACCCCCACUGGGCACAAGUGAGCUGGCCCGGCAGGGCACAUCUCAUCCUGAGCCUACCCCAGGUGUGUGUGGGGGUUGUUUCCAAGGACCAGUGGGGGCCUGAGCACACGGGCUCGGGCCCAGCCUGCUCCCUGGCGGAGAGGCUCCCAGUGGCAGGAGCCACAUGUCCUAGAGGGUUCGGCUCUGAUGUCCAGCGCUCCGUCCUGCUCAGCUGAGAGGUCAUUUGCCGAGGCUGGGGUCCCAGGCUUUAGUCUUUGAAAAAGAGUGAUUCAUUAAGUCUGUGCUAGGAUUUUUAAGCCUCCAGAGGAGGCUUUGGUUCAUGAUAUAAAGGAGAAAAUGUAUUACCUACCCUAACUUUGGCUCAAACCACCCAGUCAUCUUAGAGCAAACUUGAAAAUAACUACCUUAGCGCAUUUCCCACAGGGCUGGUGGGCCCUGCAGGCCUGGCACUCCACCGCUCCAUUCCCCACUGGGCACAGAGCCACGGCCCUGUGAGGCUGGAAACGGGUAAGGCUGGUAACUCCACCACCUACAGACACAGGGGAGCAUGAGUGCUCAGACCUGGCUGAGAAACACAAUGUUGGGGCCGCCGCUCCAGGGUGCCCCAAGUCCUCGGCCUCUGUCCACACUCCUGAGACAUGGGUCACAGCUGAAUGGCAGCAAGCCUUUAUUUCCCACUUGCCAGAGCACCCUCUCCCUCUACAGAGGUCCCAGGGGGGCCACGGCCCCAAGCUGUGGGCCAGUGGGCGCUCCUGCAUGGCUCCACCAUGACAGGAGAGGCAGCUGACUCCAGAAGUUCACUGCAGGUUACCCCCCGCCCUGCCCCGAGCAGCAGCUCUGGUCCAGGCUCUACCAAAGCUGCUGGGGGCACAGACCUGACUCGUCUCAGCCCCCGUCACGGGCAGCUGUAAAUGACACCCGUCAGCGAAGGAGCUCUGGUUCACAGUCUAAAAGCCUGGUUGUCACGGAGAUAGGUCACAGGCUGUGCAAGUCAUCAAAGACACGGACCAAAGAUGCCAGGUGAGGGAGCAGCGGCCCUCUAUGUUCAGAGCCCUGGCUCCUCAAAGUGUGGUCCACGGGCCGCCUGCCUCUGCAUCUCCCGGGAACUUGCUGAAAUGCACGCCCUCAUCUGCGAUGGAUUGGAUGUUUGUGUCCCCAAAAUCUAUCUACUGAAGCCCUGAUCCCCAAUGUGAUGGCAUCUGGAGAGGGGCCUUUGCGAGGGAAUUAGGUUUAGACUCGGUCAUGAGGGUGGAGGUGCCACGAAGGGAGUGGUGGCCUUAGAGAGGGAUGAAGAGACCAGAGCUGGUGCUCUCUCCAUCAUGUGAGGACACAGCAAGGAGGCAGCUGUCUACAAGCCAGCCUUCACCAGAACCCAGCCACAAUGGCACCUCCAGAACCGCGAGAAAUACAUUCCUGCUGUUGAGGCCCGGCCUGCGGUACUGUGCCAGAGCAGCCCGGGCUGAGACACCAUCCUGCUGAGACAGUCUGCAUCCUAACAAGCGCCCAGGAGCGCUCCCACGUACAGGUGAGUCCAGAGGCCCUGCUUUAGAGGUGCCCUCGUCCCGCCUCUUCACUAAACCAGUGGGGAAACCCGGACUGAAAGAGGCUUCAGCCUAGAGAGCCGCGGGAAACCGCCCGGCCGAGCGAGUGGGAGAGGGAGGACGUGAGGCCAGGCUUCCUGCGGCUCAGGCCCAUGGGCGCCGGCGGCCGGGGCGGGGGCUUGGACCCCCAGAGGAACACGCAGGUCAGCCCACAGGCAUCCUGGGUUCCAGACUACACCCACGUACGAGCAGACGCGGGAGGAGGAAGAGUCAGGAAACCCUGUUCCAGCAGCACUGAGCCGCCUGGAGUCGGCAGGUGCGGCCGGCUCACGCACGAGGACACAUCCUGCCGACCCGCUGCAGACGAAGGCGGACGCUGUGCAGCCAUGAGGAACGGGCUCCAAUCAUCAAACCCGAGCAGAGCGAGAUGGCGGAGAAAGGAAGAAUGGGCCAAGCAGCCCAUUUGCUGUAAUGAAUUGGGCUGGACCGGCGGAGUCCAGACUCCCAACAUUCAUCAUGUGGCUAAGCCUGCGGAACCACAAACGUGUGGGACCGGAAAGCAGCUUCGAAGUUAUCGACUCCAGCUCCUCCUCAGCCCCUGCGAGAGCCUGUCGGCCAGGCGUCCCGCUCCAGAGGUGGGCUUGGCUUCAGCAGCCGAAACCCACCCCUCACCUUCAGAAUGCCGACGCAUUUCAACACAGCAGUUUCAGUUCUGGGAGCCAAGCUGCAGGAAAGAGGACCCCAAAGGUGGGAAACACCAGCCGUACCAACGUGUCUGAAGGUGGAAUGUAUACUAAAGCAGACUUGGCUGGCUCGGCGGGAGAUGCCAACAGAGAGAAAGGACCCCUGACCGAAGCACAGACAACUGAGAAGACAGUCUCUGAGCACCCAUGGUUUCCACAGGGCACCCAUGGCAGCGUGAGGCCCUGGGACACCCCCCCCACACACACGCCUUAGCCAGAUCUGGAGGCUCGGUCCCCACAAGCCAUAGCGGGACAGAUGUCACAGCCAGAUCCCUCCUAGCAGGGGCCGCCCAGACUCUAAAUAUGUUUGGCUUUGCUGGUCACGUCGUGAGCCCUGGUGCCACUCCUCAAGCCGACCACUGCAGUGUGAAAGCGGCUGCAGACGACGUCACGUGACUGAGCAGAACUGCGUCCGACAAAUCUUUAUUUACAAAAACAGCCCCGAGCUGCAGUGUGCCGAUCCUGGCCUCUUCCCUCCCACCUAUUAACGUUAAAAGGCAAAUAAAGCUCGAGGAAAAGUCCUAAACGUCCAACCUAGGGAAAGGGUUUAAUAAGCUAAGUCACUUGAAAUCGACUCAUUCGAUCCAUAUCUAUCGAGCGCUGCUGUGCCAGACACGGCUCGAGUCCUGAGGAUAGGGCAAGGAGCAAAUCGGCCAAGCCUGCUGUAUCAAAGAGAUGUGCUGAAAACUCUACGAAAACUUGUGAUUACAAGGAAAACCCUCACAGUGCUGUGUGAAAAGUAAA